rnacentral:rRNA from 1 species
AUUGAACGCUGGCGGCAGGCCUAACACAUGCAAGUCGAGCGCGAAAGUUCUUCGGAAUGAGUAAAGCGGCGGACGGGUGAGUAAUACAUGGGAAUCUGCCUGGUAGUGGGGGACGACGUUUCGAAAGGAACGCUAAUACCGCAUACGCCCUACGGGGGAAAGGGGGGGAUCGCAAGACCUCUCGCUAUCAGAUGAGCCCA